GAUGAACGCUAGCGGCAGGCCUAAUACAUGCAAGUCGAACGGUGUCUUCGGACAUAGUGGCGCACGGGCGCGUAACACGUAUGCAACCUACCUUACAUUGGGGGAUAGCCUUUCGAAAGGGAGAUUAAUACCGCAUAAGACAGUAGCUGGGCAUCUAGCAGCUGUUAAAGAUUUAUCGAUGUAAGCUGGGCAUGCGUCCAAUUAGCUAGUUGGUGAGGUAACGGCUCACCAAGGCAAUGAUUGGUAGGGGAACUGAGAGGUCAAUCCCCCACACUGGCACUGAGAUACGGGCCAGACUCCUGCGGGAGGCAGCAGUAGGGAAUAUUGGGCAAUGGACGCAAGUCUGACCCAGCCAUGCCGCGUGCAGGAUGAAGGCGUUAUGCGUUGUAAACUGCUUUUAUACAGGAAGAAACGACUCUUGCGAGAGGCAUUGACAGUACUGUAUGAAUAAGCACCGGCUAACUCCGUGCCAGCAGCCGCCGUAACAC
rnacentral:rRNA from 1 species